UCGAUUGAGUUUGAUCCUGGCUCAGGACGAACGCUGGCGGCGUGCUUAACACAUGCAAGUCGAGCGAGAUUCAACCGGUGGCAACACCGGGGAAGAUCGAGCGGCGAACGGGUGAGUAACACGUGAGCAACCUGCCCCGAAGACUGGGAUAACACCGGGAAACCGGUGCUAAUACCGGAUACCCCCACCAGGCCGCAUGACCAGGUGAGGAAAUGCCUGCAUCUAAUAAAUGCAGCACGCUUCGGGAGGGGCUCGCGGGCUAUCAGCUUGUUGGUGGGGUAACGGCCUACCAAGGCGACGACGGCUAGCUGGCCUGAGAGGACGACCAGCCACACUGGGACUGAGACACGGCCCAGACUCCUACGGGAGGCAGCAGUGGGGAAUCUUGCGCAAUGGGCGAAAGCCUGACGCAGCAACGCCGCGUGGGGGAUGAAGGCCUUCGGGUCGUAAACCCCUUUCAGCAGGGACGAAACUGACGGUACCUGCAGAAGAAGCCCCGGCCAACUACGUGCCAGCAGCCGCGGUAAUACGUAGGGGGCGAGCGUUGUCCGGAUUCAUUGGGCGUAAAGAGCUCGUAGGCGGUUUGAUAAGUCGGGUGUGAAAUCUCCAGGCUCAACCUGGAGAGGUCACUCGAGACUGUUAUGACUAGAGUCCGGUAGGGGACCACGGAAUUCCUGGUGUAGCGGUGAAAUGCGCAGAUAUCAGGAGGAACACCAGUGGCGAA
rnacentral:rRNA from 1 species